AGCUUCACCUGUGACUGACGGACACUCCUUAUCUCCUCCUAUUGGUCUAGAGAGGAGGAAAGCCUUUAUUCGGAUUGGUCACUGUAAACUACGUCAUGCUGCUUUCAAUUGAGUGGGAAAAAGUUAAGAACGAUUUUAGAGGAGGUUUUAUUUUUAGAUCGAAUCGGCAUGCUGGCUACAGCUGAAACGUUACCAAUCUUUCGUACAAAUCAGUAUAGAUCAUGUUUGAAAGUUUGGGAAAGCGAACGUGAAUAACUGGAUUGUUUUCUCAACUCCUAAAAAGAGUUUAAGAUAAAUGAAAGAAAAUACAGUGCGAAAAAUCGGAGAGAGAGGCUCCAACAUCAUAAAAGCGUUUCAAACGCAACCCUUCAUCAAUCGGACAAACAUUAGGUGCUUAACGAACGGGUCUGGCCGCACUCGGACAGGUCUGGUUCAUUUUCAGGUCAUUAGGGUUUAUUUUAGCUGCUUUUAUCUCCUCGACUGCAUGAUGAUUGUAGUUUUCUGCCAUUUUUACAUAAUAAUUCCACUUUUCAAUUUAACAUGCAAAUCGUCGUGCACAAGCUGAACGUUUGAACAAAUGCACAACGAUGAUUAAAUGAUCUAAUUAUUAUUUAAAACAAAAUAUUUCAACCGAUCCUCUACGUUGUUGAUGUUUAAUUUAAUCUGACAUGAGAAUGUUGCUGCUCAGCUUGCUGACGACCUGUCGCAGUUGACAUCAGCGCUUAAUCUUUUCUAUCUGAUAAACAUCAGCCUGUGCAGGACAAAUCAGUUUAAUGCUCUCAUUUGUUUCAUUUAGUCUAUUAUUGGUUAUCCAAUGAGACAGACAUGCACAUUAGUAGUGCUAUUCUUGUUUUCUGAGUUUUGUACUUCUAUCAUUUGUCACGAAAAAUCACGAAGAAAACCAAAACGUUCAAGUUGUGUCUGUUUCGUUCAUUUCUAAUGUUCGGGGACUCGAAAACAAUGUUGAACACAGGCUAUUCGUUCUUUUUGAUUUUUGUACAAGAAACCCAAAAAUAUGAAAUCUUUUGGAAAUCACAACGAGGAGAUGUAAUAGUGGUACGGAGCGUAUACUCGGCAGGUGUAAUGAGACUAAACAGAUUUAAGGACGCACAUGAUCCUGAAGGGCAUUGGUUAUUAAUGGUUGUAAAAUACAUUCAUGUGUUUAUUUGAUGUAACAAGGCGGUGAAUAAGAGCUUUAUUAGCAAGAAACGAAAGAACUGGAAAUUGAGACAUCAGAUAGAUUAAAUAAAAUAGGAGAUUUUAAAAAUUCCCCGAAUUGUUACAAUAAUCAUUAUUAUUAUUAUUAUUAACUUACAGCACGUUUUUCUCCAGAUCAAAAAGUACAAAAGUGGAUAUUUAUCAUUGCUUGAUGACAAGCUUAAAAUGUCAGUUCACAGGUGUGUCAUAUGAACGGACCAAUCCAGACAUCAUGUUAUUAUAUAUAAAUAUAUGUGUAUAUAGGAUUUUUUUCCAAAUAGCCCACCCUUAAUCCAGCAUGUCCAAAAUAAGCCUAAAAUCAUAACGUCUUUUAAAGGAGCAAUAUGUAAGAAUUCUACAGUGAAAUAAUCACAGAACAUUCUAAUCAAGUGGGAAAGAAGGUUAUAUUGAAACAGAUUUUCUUCUCAUUCAGCUGUGUGUGUGUGUGUGUGUGAUCCUUUCAAUAAAACUAAAUAGACCAAGUGAAGAAAUAAGAGUUUAUCAACUGUAAGAAUAAACUUUCUGUAUUUUUAGAGAGGACACGUUCAGUUUAAAAUGAAAGCCAAAACUACUAGCAUAGUUUCAAGGCUGCCUGUGAAGAACACUGGACCCACAGUGAAAGAGAGGAAGAGGAACAGAGAUAGAGACGUAAUUUUCAGUUUUUUUUUUUUUUUUUGGGGUCAUUCAGAAGAUCACCUUGGUACUGUGCUUUGGAUCAUUGUCCUGCUGCAUAACCAAAGUGUGAGUGUCCUUAAGGUCCUGUAUGGAUGGCUGGACAUUCUCAUGCAGGAUUUUCUGUCAGAGAGCAAAAUGUCUGAUCUAAUAAAUUAAGGGAAGUUGUUCACAUCUUAAGGAGGCAAAGUACUCCAACCCAUCCUCUGCCCUCAACCAGUAGAAUUUCUAUGGCAUCCCUUGGCCAACAUAGAAAUAUAAUGCCUCCAACAUGUCUUGGUCGAUCCAGAGGCCUCCUGUCAACAGAACAUGCCCACAACAUCUCCCUGGGAGGUGAUCAGUAGACAUUCUAAUCAAAAGCCCAAAACACAUUUGGCUCCUCUCAGUAAAUCGCUGUGAAUCAUUACUCUGGAAAAAAAAAUUUACUAAUCAUUAUCUGUUUUAUUGUUGUGAUUUUUGAGAUUAUAUUAUGAAAUAUUUAUAUUUAUUCCAUCACACCAACAUCACCCAUUUACCUCAGCAUCACACCAAUAGCACCAACAGACACAUUUACCAAAAAUUACUUUAAAAUUCAUGACUAAGUCACAAACGUCUGUUAGACUUUGUGUCCAGCAAAUUUAGGUUUGAUGAGCAGAACUUCUGACAAAUUUAUAUCCAUUAGGUUAAUGCAGGUUCUUCUGACAGAGAUGCACAUCUAUAAGCACUGAUGUAGAUAAAGAAAAAAUGUUUUACUUUCUGAAUUUUUUUUAACCAAAUUAUUCCCAAUAGUAUAAGCAGGAAUUUCCAAUUAUGUGUUUUUUCAGACAUUUUAAGAUCCAAGAUUACAGCCAAUUUUCUUCUAAUCAUACGUUACAUAAAGUAAACAGAAGUAGAUUAAUACCUAAUGAGAUUUUCCACGCUCCCUUAAAAGUUGGUAGUAGUAAUAACAGUAAUAUGAAUAGUAGUAGUUUGUGCAAAAAUAAUUUAAGCCCUCUCUAUUAAAGUGGGUAGGUAAUGAGGGGCAGGAGAGUCAAUUUAGCACUUCAAAAAGGGAAACAAGAAACAAGACAGCAGGGGCAAAAAGAGCAGAUCCAGACAGUGCCCCCUCCUUAAGGGUGGCUCCCAACACUCAGAACAGAAAUGCAAAAAUAAAAAAGGUGCGGGGGCAGGAACUCAGACUGCUGGACUUCCUCUGAGAGAGGCAGGGGGUGUUUCUCAAUGCCAAGGAACCUUGUCUUGAUGUCUUGGUCCUGCCCCGGUUACCUAGGAUAUAUGUCAUCAGGAACCACCAAGGCGUGUUCCAAUGUUAAUGUUCUACCGAGGCGUGUGUUCUCCGCUCAUUAGCCGUUUAGCUAGCUGAGCAUGGAUACACGGGAGGUGUCUUGUAGCCCAGCCUUGGUCAAAAAUUUCUCAGAAUAUGCCGCAGUAUCUUCAAAAGGAUGGCGGAUUAGGAGCUGACAGCUACUUCAGGGGAAAAUUUCAAGUUUAAAUGCAAGUAAACUAAUUGUAGCUAUCGGGCUGAUAUCUAAAAUGUUGUUUUAGAUCCAAAGCAGUUAGCUAUGGUUGGUUAGUUGCUUAGUCAUUGCAGCUUUGGUGGCUAGGAGGGAGUAACUCACUAACAUAUUUAAUUUAACAAAUAUAAACACAAUUUAAAUAGUAAAAGGCUCGGUAUAUAUUUAUAUUGAAACUUAUACAGAUAAAUUAUAAUGUUAUCUCCCGUGUCACCUGCCAUUACGUGACUGCCGCGGUCACAUGAUGCUAAUCUGCUCCACGUUUUCUUUGAUCAAGGAAGGACAGUGUCCUCAUAAGCAUGACGCAAGCAAGACAUCGCCUUGCGAGGCCAGAGACACCUUGACAUUGAGAAACACCCCCAAUCUCUUCACGUGGUACAGCUGGGGUCUCAGGACCGGGCAGCAUGGCUGGGGCCUCUGAAGAUGACUGAGGCUUUUUACAAUGGCUGGAUUUUGGCGUGGAUCUCCAGGUGCAUCGGCAUUUGCCCAGUGUGACCUGCAGGUGCUUGGUAUUGAUCUCUGGGGGGAGCGACAGGUGCUCGGCAGGAACCCUUCAGUCGGCACAGCUGGAGCCUCAGGACAGGAAGACACGGCUAGGGCUUUUGAAGAUAGCUGGAGCUCAGUGUGGAGCUCAGGACGUGGUGGCAGCAGGUGCUCAGCAUGGACCUCUGGGUGCAGCUGAAGGUGCUCGGCAUGGACCUCUAGGUGCAGCUGCAGGUGAUCGGCAUGGACCUCUAGGUGCAGCUGCAGGUGCUCAGCGUGGAUCUCUGGGUGCAGCGGCAGGUGCACGGACUUUGUGAGCAGCAGAUAUGCUGAGAGGCAUGCUGACUAUCCAGGAAUACAUAGGAUACGUUAGAAUGUGCUGUCUCGUUUAUUUGUCAAUGCUUAUCAGAAAAACUAAAACAUACACCAACCUGCUCACCUCUGGAUGCUUUGUGGUCAGAUCCUUCUGUCAAGAAAAAAUGUUGUUUGAUUUGGACCCACAUGCAGGGGACCAGGCACAGGAAGCAGUCUGGCAGGUAAAAAGAAUUGUUUAUUAGAAUAAUGGCAGGUAGGCUGACACGUCGGGAAGCCAGGACGAGGAUCUGGCACAGACAAGCACAAACAGAGGCUUUAAAUGCACAGGGGCAAUCAGGGAAACAAGGGACAGGUGAGUAGAAUGAACACUUAAAAAGGUGAGACGAGACACAAGACAGCAGGGCCAUGAGAACAAUAUGUACCAUACUGAAAGAUGGUAAAUUGCUGACAUUCCCAGAGCUGGGAGAAUAGUUCCAGUUGGAAAAUAUACAUAUCUUUCCAUAUUUGCAGAUUAGGGAUUAUUUUACAAGAGAAAUACAAGCCCCCAAAUUUCAAGGAGUCUUCUUGGUAUGGUUAUAAAAACAUACAAGGGAACACAAUUCAAAGAAAUUUCAACAUUUUAUAAGACUAUAAGAGAAGCUAUACUGAUAUCAAGCAUGUAUUUCAAAAAUAAAUGUGAAAAAGAAAUCAAAACUGAUUUAUCACUUGAAGAAUAGCAAGAUAUAAAGAUAAACAGGGUAUAGCGGUGGGUUCUUAAAGUAAUAAAAAAGCAUCAAAUUCAGUAGAGCCAAAUACAAGGCCUUGAAAAUAUAAGAAAAGGGCAUUAAAUUAUCAAAAAAAUAAAGAUACAAAUUUUGAUUAUUUUGAUGGUUUUAAGAAUUCUGGCCAAGCAACUUACCCCGUUGGAAGAUUUUUUUUACUCAAAACAAGAAGCUUUUGAUAAGAUUUAAAGUGACAUGUGUAUUUUUCCUGGAGAUUAGGGCAGUACAUACCUAAAUCAAUGCAAGAAAGAAGUAUUUUUGGGUUUGGGUGAAACCUUAUCAACGAAUGUCCAUUAGGAUCAAAAAUCCCUGCAAGUGUCGUAGCACACAUGCUUUGCCCAUUUGGAGGAUAAUUUAGUGACACAGAUGGAUCAUUCUUGCUGUGUGGUUGAUUGUUUGGACUGUGCGAUAUUUAUUUUGAAGUUUUAUUGGGAUUUCCUCCUUUAAGGACCGCAAAAUAUGUUAAAUAAAGAGAUGCCUGGAUUCCUGCAGAGCCAGACAGUUUGUGAGGCUAAUUUUGAUCAUGGUAAAACCUUGUGACUAAGUAUUUGUUAAUUAGAGAAGAUGUUUUUAAAAACACGGUCGCUUUACACUCAGCUGAGAAUCAGCUCCUUUAAAUCCGAGACCAUGGUCUUGAACCAGAAAAGGGUAGAAUGCCUUCUCUGGGUCAGGGACGAGGUCCUGCGUCAAGUGGGGGGGUAGUUUGAGUAUCUCUGGGUCUUGUUCAAGUGUAAGGGAAAGAUGGAGCGUGAGAUCAAUAGGCGGAUUGGUGCUGCAUCUGCAAUGAUGCGGGUGUUAUACCGAUCUGUUGUGAUGAAGAGAGAGCUGAGCUGGAAGGCAAAGCUCUUGAUUUACAGGUAGAUUUACAUUUCAACCCUCAACUUGGUCACAAGCUUUGAGCAGUGACCGAAAGAACUAGAUCACGGAUACAAGCGACCAAAAUGAGUUAUAAGCUAGUCCUGCCUUAAGCUCAGUCUGGAGAGUAUGUUUUCGGGUAGAUGGGUCAUGUUAUUGAGUCAGUGUGUGGGUUCACUAGUCUUGGAUUGUGUUCAUUUUUCUUAAAAAAUGGUAAAUUAUUGUGUAGAGGAGGUACAAACUUCAGCAGGUACGGACACAGAGUCCACGGGUUUUCAAAUAAGAGAAUGAAAGGCACAAUCUUCCGUUCCUGGCGUUUUGGGCAAACUGAAAACACGAUUGUUUCUGCUCCGCACUUCAGACCAGAGGAUCACAAUCCCAGUGAUGUGAUGGGAGUUCAAAAUGUCUCCUAUCCUCCAGAGCACCGUGGUGGAGUUUAGAAAAAUACUUGCCAACUCAUUGAGCCCAAAUCAAGUCAAGGAGGUCCGCGCUGAUCUCCAGAAGCAGAUGGGGAGCUUUUAAAAAUUCCUAGCGAGCUGGGGAUGUUGGUUUCUGGGUCGGAACCAGCUCAGAACUGGCACCCCCGACCUCCAAAAGAGGAUGCAGAACUUUUAAAAAUGGCUAGCGUGCCAGGGAAGCUGGUUUCUGGGUCGGAACCAGGUCAGAACCAGCUCGGAACUGGCACCCCUGACCUCCAGAAGAGGAUGCAAAGCUUUUUGAAAUUCCUAGUGAGCCAGAGAAUCUGGUUCCUGGGUCUGAACCGGCUCAGAACUGCCAGUCUUGACAUCCAAAAAAGGAUGUGGAGCUUUAAAAACCCUGGUUUCUGGUUUGGAACCGGGUCAGAACCGACUCAGAACUGGCGCCCCCAACCUCCAAAGAGGAUGCAGAGCUUUUAAAAAUGGCUAGCAUGCCAGGGAAGCUGGUUUCUGAGUCGGAACCGGGUCAGAACCAGCUCAGAACUGGCGCCCCUUACCUCCAGAAGAGAAUUCAAAGCUUUUAAAAAUUCCUAGUGAGCUAGGGUAUCUGAUUCCUGGGUCUGAACUGGCUCAAAACCGGUGCCUCCGACAUCCAGAAGAGGAUGCAGAGCAUUUUUAAAAAUGGCAAGUGGGCCAGGGAAAGUUUCUGUGCCAUGAGCAGGCGUCUCUCCCUCUCUCUAAAGCGCUAACCCAGAUAGCAGACGACUCCGCGCUGGAUCCGGUUUCAGGCCGGCAGAUCCGUAACAGUCACAUCCAUUUUGCCUCUGGCCCCCGAACCAGAGGACGGGACUAACACUCGGCUCAUCUACGGUCUUGGCUCUGGGAAAUGGAAGCGCCUUUUUCCCCUCCUUUCCCUUUUUUUCUCCCAGGAGGAGAAAAGAAGGAGCAGACUGCAGAUAUUGCAUUUAGCAUUGUCUUUGUUUGAAAUGAACUGAUUUUCAAAGUAAAACUUCAUCAAGGUAAGGCAAACUUGGUCAAAACUUGUCAGAAAAAUAUUUACUUUAGCUUUGUUAAUUACUUUAAGGACCUAAUACUGGCAGUUAGUGUUAAAGACUUGAGCUAAGAAAGCUUUAUAAGUGUGUUCAUAGAAAAACUGUUGAUUUUAUGUUUGUGGUAUGGUUAAAAAAAGAAAAACAUACAAGUUGUAAUAAUUAGUUAAAGCCCUAAAAUUAUUAAAUGAACAAAUGUGCCACUUAAAUGCUGCUUAGCAUUAUUUGGGUUUUAGCUUUGUUAGCUUACAGCCUCCUUAUUAAUCUGUCUGUAUUAUAGACAGUGUUAAAACCAAUUAGCUCAAUAAUUUUACAACUCUAUCAAAAUACAGGUUUUUGUCAAAAUUAGUAUAGGUUUAGAUGUCUAAUAAUUUAUGUGUAUCUAAUAGAUUAGUCUAAUUCUAAUCUAUCUGGUUUGUUAAACAUGUAAACUGAGACACGUGUUGUGAAAGAAAAACAUGUAAUAAUAAUAAGCACGAUCACAGAGCAAAGUAAUGUGUAAGCUGGUGGAGACUCUUGUGUGACUCUGUCAAGCACACCAUAAAGGGAGAUGGUGUGUUUAUUUCUACCAGAUCUCUACCAAUAAAUGUGUGUUGGGGUACAAGCCAGGCUUGAUUUUCGGUACGAGAGUGACGGCGUGAGUAAUCCCAACCAUUACACAGUUUAGUACUCUAGUUUUAUAUGGUGUUGGCUAAAAAGUAUUUGGGUUUAAAAAUAUACAAAUAAAAUGUGAGCAAAUCUGGCUUGUGAUCAUUCCAUUUAAUAGUAGGCUACAGGUUAUAAACCUUAAUAAAUGAAGACAGACCACUUUCAUGUUUUUUACAGCUGCAUUGUCUGGAUGGAUACAGUUUAGAAACUAAAUCUCUUACCUGCAACUAAUGUCAUGUCAAUGAAUAUGGUUUUAUAAAUUUCCACAGGUGACUGUCUAAGGUCCAGGGAGAAACUGGAGGCUUCACUGACCUGCCAUACUUCUGAGUUACACACGAAAGAUGAGGAAGAAAUUAAACCAAGGGUAUUUGCAUCUGUACUUUGGACCAUCCUUCUGGACAUUAGGAAAGGGAACGAUGUGCACAUGUGCAGCACGAUCACGUUACACCGACUAACCAAGAAACAGGGAUCAAACUGUCACACGAUGACUGCUGCAUCAUCUGUCUCUAUUCCUGUGUACGACAUGCCUUCCAGUCCUCUUCUCCAUGUCAGGAAGGUGCCCGAUCUGAGAAGCUCUCACUGUGUUCAAGGUACCUUUCUUCAUCAAAGUUUUCACCUAUGAAAACAGUUCCAGAGAUCUCCAUUUUCUCCCCAUUCUACCACUUGGCUUUGAGCUCCCUGCAUCUCCUCUGAACAUCAAGGCGGUGUGUUUAGCUCUAGAUGCAGACUGGGCCAGAUGGGUGCUGGACCAGUUCCUCGCUCAGCUGCACAUACUGGCGUUACUGGAAGAGACGAGGGAGCAACAGAUGCUGCUGCUGUCACUAACCUAGCCCCACAGAUUGUUGUCUGAUGCUCCUGUGGCUGAAAUGCUGCACACCAUCAACACCCCACUGAUGACCAUGUCUGACGGUGAGGAACUGGAGGAGUGGCUUAAAGAUCCCAGCACUGGUGUUGGAGGGCAGAUCGACUGGAAGGAUGUGAAUGGGAAGAAGAGUUCCAAGGAUUUGCAGAGCAUCUGUUUGUUGAUCACAGCAGUCUGGAACAACCAUGCAGCUGAUUCCUGUGCUGGUUCGGUCUUGCUUCUGACCGUGGAGGUGGCUGGAAAGAGAGCAGCCAGAGAGGCCAUUUCUGAGGUAAGUUUUACAGCAUCUACAAAUAAAAUGUGUUGCACUCAUUUUGCACAGCGUUUGAUAACUUGUCUUACUUAUUCAAUAUGAAUGUCUAUAAAUGCAAAUCUGUAUAGUUGGGCUGCUCGAUUAAUUUAAUUUAAAUAAAAAUGAAGAUCCUGGUUUUGAACAAACCCAUCCAUCGAUUUUCCUCCGCUUAUCUGGAGCCGGAUUUCAGGGGUGUGUGUUUCUUUUUCUCUGAUUGUGCUUUGGUGCAAUUUUAUGGUCAAAUAAAUAAAUGAAAUAGAAGUUAAUUUAAAAUAGUCUCCUAAAAACAGAUAUCACAAUUUCAGUGAAGAUAAGUGUGAUCAUCAUUUUUGGCGUAAUCGAGCAGCCUUACUGUAUAUCAUUUAGGAGUUCUUUCACCAAACCAACAAUAAUGAAAACAUAGUUUACUUACUUGGCUCAAAGCUGGACUUUAUUUUUACCAGUUUAACUUUACUUAACAUAAUACUAUGAAAAUGGUAAAUAGCUUGUAUUUGUAUAGUGCCUUGCCUUCUAGGGUUCUACAGGGCCCUUCACAACAUACCUGUCAUUCACCCAUUCACACACACUUUCACACUCUGGUGGUGAUGAGCUACAUUGUGACCACCGCUGUUCUGGGUCGCACUGACAGAAGCAAGUGCUACCAGUCCCUCCAACCACCACCAGCAGUCAAGAGAAGUUAAUGCCUUGAUCAAGGACACAAUGACUGACAGACUGAGCAGGACUCAAUCCCACAAACUUCCAAUUACAAGAUCAUCACUUAACCUUGCGUAACAGUUCACACUUUAUCCUUAUCUAACAAAACACCAAUCCUAAACCUAAGCUCAUAGAAUAAAGUGUAAUAGCAAACUAAUGUAAAAUACACAUAAAAACUUAGAAAAAGAUUUGUUUUUUUUUUUUGUUUUUGGCAGGUGCCUCCUCACUGAAGACUCCUGUUGAAACAACCAGAAUGUUUUCUUUUUUCGGCUUUUUUCAGUUUUUUUGGACUAUUUGUGUGUGUUUAGAAAAAUAAACAUGUUAAAUCAAAUGUUGCAUUUGUCCUUUAAAUUUGAAUUUUAUUGGUGAAUUCUGUUGCUUAAAUAUUUCAAUUCAUUAUUCUGAUUUAAAUUACCAUGGUCAGAUCAUAUCUGGAUCUGCAACGGAGCUGGGCCAGACUCAGGCCAGAUGUGGUGCAGAUUUGUCUUGGAACUUGACCAGAGUAGGACUGGAUGACAAUUUAAGAAUCCACAUUCGGCCCGGUGCCGGUCCAGUUUUGGCCCUGAUUUGGAAAAAUGGAUCCGCACCGGUAUUGGCCCGGUGUGCUAAAGGACACAGGCCCGGGUCCAUUUUGCGGAUCCGGGCCAGAUUUUACGAAGGCUCAGAGGCCAGAUCUGGGCCAAAUGAUUUUUGCUAUCUGGGAAGCUACGUUACGUGAACAGAUAUUAACGAGUAUGAAACAGAUGACAAAUGCUCAUUAUAUAGUUUGUUAUUGUCAAGAAUCAAUAUUAUAUUAAAUGACCAAUAAUAUUUUAAAUGUCUGGUCUGGUGCAUGACAGUAAUCUGUUAAACAUUGGGAUGUUAGCACACGUGUUUAAGCUAGCUAGCUAGCUAGCAUUGUUCACUCAGCGAGACACCUGCUCUCUCCACAGAACCUCCUGGCACCACAGCUAAAUCUUUCUCUCUAAAUUGCUCUCAGGGGCGUGCAGCAGGCUGAUAACUGGACAGUUGUGGUCCACCAUAGGUGUAUUAAUAAACAUUUAAAGUUUCCUCUGUGUCAGAGUCUGCAUUAAAAUCCAUAUUUUUCUCUGGGUCAAGCCAACAGGACUCCCACUGCCUCCCCCUGUCUGGUUUUGCAGAAAAAAAUGUUUUUCUCAUAAAAACGACUCAGUGCCUAACUAAUUUAUUUAUGUGUACAUUUUUAUUUAGAACGAGUUCCUAUUUGUUCACAGGAGGCUCUAACCUGCAAUAUGCUCUUAAAGAAUAUUUGCCUUAUUUUAAAGAGCAAGUCACCCCUUACAAGAAGCGUACCUCACUCCCACUUCAUGUUUCAAAAAUGCAACAAAUGCUGUUGCCUAGCAGACCGAGAGGGUGGAGCCACUAACAAAUACACACACUCAUGACAUUGUGACAUCAUAAUGUACCAGUUUACAUCAUAGUAUACCUCUUAGCCAAUAGCGGUGGCAGAUUUAAAUUCAAAUGCAGUGAAGAGUUUUUACCUGACAAUGGCACAGCACUGACAGUUUCAGGCAGAAAAUUUAAAUUUUAACUAAAAUGCACUAAAGUGCAAAACUAUUGACUACACGUGUCUGCAGCACGAUUAGACACGCAUUUAUAUAGUUUAUCUAAAAAAAUAGUUGGUUUGGGGGUGACUUGCUCUUUAAAUAAUAGAAUAUUUUUUCUGUUUAGACUAAAAAUAUAUGAAAAUGUCUAAAAAUUAGGCUUUUUUAAAACUUUCUUAGAAAUCAGUUUUUGCAAUGUAUCCAUUUAUUACAGCGCAUAGGAAAAAGGGCAUCUAAGACAAAGGAGGCAGGUGCUAAAGCACUCAGUUUUUUUUUUAAAUAUGUCCUUAUGCAAAUAUCUGUCCAGAGACUGCAGGUGGCUUAUAACAAUGCAUUAAGACUUCUGGUUAAAAAAAAAAAAAAAAAAAAAAAAAAUCCCAGAUGUGAACUGUUUGUUUCUGCCGGGGUCAGCACAUU